UGCCAGCCGCCGCGGUAAUACGGGGGAUGCAAGCGUUAUCCGAAAUCAUUGGGCGUAAAGCGCCUGUAGGUUGUUUAAUAAGUCUGUUGUUAAAGACUAGGACUUAACCCUAAAAAGGUGGCAGAAACUACUAAACUAGAGUGUGGUAGGGAUAAAGGGAAUUUCUAGUGUAGCGGUUAAAUGCGUAGAUAUUAGAAAGAACACCAGUAGCGAAAGCGCUUUAUUGGGCCAUUACAGACACUAAAAGGCGAAAGCUAGGGUAGCAAAACGGAUUAGAUA
rnacentral:rRNA from 1 species